ACUAAUUGUGCUAACGACGAGGCCAACGAUACUCUCACUCGGAUUGUCUCACUGGCUUCUCCCAUCCCUUCUCCGAGCCCCUCGAUGAGGCCUCCGAUGAACUCUAUGACCACCUGGCCCGCGAGACGGGCUGCAGUUCCCAGGGGGCUAGGCUUGUCAGGCGUAGGUAUGCCGUUGGCCUGGAGGCCGUUGAUGAAAACCUUGGCGCACACCGCGUGGAGAUGGUAUUCGCACACGGUGCACCGAUACACCCUUCCCGAUCUCUUCUUGUUGCACUCCCCGCACGCCGCGUUGCCGGCCGGCAGCAGCCUCAGGGGGUGCGGGUGAGCCGGGAACCGAACCUCCGUCGUCAGCAUGGCACAGCACGGGUGCAUCUGGAAGCUGCAGGCUCUGCAUCGGAAGGCAAACCCUUUGCUCGACUUUCCGCAGACGUCGCACCUCGGCCACGAAAUCCCGCCUUUUGCUGCAUCGCGUCACACUAAAAGGUUAUGCUCGCGCGUUUUUUUAAUGGACAAAUAAACAUGAAAUUUUAAAGGGACUCGAACUUGUGACCUUUGGUCCGAGCAUCAAUCACUCUACCGCUUGGCCAACACACGUAAUUUCAGUUUACGUACCCGUUUUUGAUUUGGCGUGGAAAACGAGCUGGUGCUGGCCGUGGAACGGGUGGCUGUUCAAGACGGGAGGGGAGGCGGCGCAGAAGUCGUGCAGCUGGAAGUCGCACUGCGCGCACGCAAACCUCCGGCCUGCGCCGUACUCCUUGCAGCCGCCGCACGUGAAGAGCUCCGGGAGAGUGACUUGGAGCAACGGGUGCUCGGAGUGGGCGUAAUGCAGCAUCCCGUCUCCCGAGGCCGACUGCGGCGACGUCGGGAACUCGACCGCCGCCGCGGCCGGGGAGGAGGAGGAGGAGCGUUUCAUGGGGCGGAGAGAAGUUUGAGACUUGAGGGAAGUGUGCCUUCUCAUUGUGUGUGUGUGUGUGUGUGUUUGGAUAUGGGAGUGGAGGAAUAUUAUUUAUGCUGCCUAAAUUAAUCAAAGUGCUUGCUUUAUCAAA